UCGGAGUGAUGAUGCUGAGAAAUGGUUUCGCUCAUUGAGCUGAUGACGUGUGAUGUCACACCUUCUCUUGGCUGUCUGACCAA